rnacentral:rRNA from 1 species
UAGGGAAUCUUCGGCAAUGGGGGGAACCCUGACCGAGCAACGCCGCGUGAGUGAAGAAGGUUUUCGGAUCGUAAAGCUCUGUUGUUAAGGAAGAACGAGUGUGAGAAUGGAAAGUUCAUGCUGUGACGGUACUUAACCAGAAAGGGACGGCUAACUACGUGCCAGCAGCCGCGGUAAUACGUAGGUCCCGAGCGUUGUCCGGAUUUAUUGGGCGUAAAGCGAGCGCAGGCGGUUAGAAAAGUCUGAAGUGAAAGGCAGUGGCUCAACCAAUGUAGGCUUUGGAAACUGUUUAACUUGAGUGCAGAAGGGGAGAGUGGAAUUCCGUGUGUAGCGGUGAAAUGCGUAGAUAUAUGGAAGAACACCGGUGGCGAAAGCGGCUCUCGGGUCUGUAACUGACGCUGGGGCUCGAAAGCGUGGGGAGCGAACAGG